ensembl:ncRNA H34C03.19 ncRNA
GUCGCUUCCCAUGUUCGAUGUUAUCUGUCACAACUGUCCCGUUCGAAGCUUUUAAAUGAUAAUAAAGAUGAUGAUGACGAUGGCCGGUGGAGAUGAGGACUGUUUUCUUGUUGUAGAAUUUUCUGUCAGUUAUGUUUUCAUAAUCACUUUCUUCGAAAUUUUCACAUCUGAAAACGGAGAAAUUUAGUUAACUUCGAUCGUUUUAAACUUAU